CCUACGGGAGACAGCAGUCGAGAAUCAUUCACAAUGGGGGAAACCCUGAUGGUGCGACGCCGCGUGGGGGAAUGAAGGUCUUCGGAUUGUAAACCCCUGUCAUGUGGGAGCAAAUUAAAAAGAUAGUACCACAAGAGGAAGAGACGGCUAACUCUGUGCCAGCAGCCGCGGUAAUACAGAGGUCUCAAGCGUUGUUCGGAAUCACUGGGCGUAAAGCGUGCGUAGGCUGUUUCGUAAGUCGUGUGUGAAAGGCGCGGGCUCAACCCGCGGACGGCACAUGAUACUGCGAGACUAGAGUAAGGGAGGGGGAACCGGAAUGCUCGGUGUAGCAGUGAAAUGCGUAGAUAUCGAGAGGAACACUCGUGGCGAAGGCGGGUUCCUGGACAUUAACUGACGCUGAGGCACGAAGGCCAGGGGAGCGAAAGGGAUUAGAUACCCGAGUAGUC
rnacentral:rRNA from 1 species